AUGGUGUCACAUUACGAGUUUUUGAGCCGAAUACAUUUUAGACAGUGCUCCCAAGAAAAGAUCAACAGGUGGUUGAUGAAAGAAGGCCUACUUUCACAAUCAAUGAAAUGCCCCUCGUCGUAAUGCGAUGAAGUUGAAGUUUCCCUACGGAAAAAGGCAGGCAGCAUGGAUAUGCCGAGAUUCAUGUCAUAAAGGAAAAUCAGUCUCUAGGUCCAUCCGAACUGGCUCCAUGUUUGAGAAUUCUCAUGUUCAACUACAAACGUGGAUGCAUUUCAUCUACAGAUUUGCCCAAGGCCUUCGAUUGCGACAAGUGGACAUGCUGCAAGAAGGGAUUACUCGAAGCUCUGCAACUCUGAGUAAUCUUGCAGACAAGCUGCGAAGAAUUUGCAAAUGUGCAAUGAAAAGAAUGAGAAGAAGAGGCAAGCAGACUG